GGAUUCCCCUAGUAACGGCGAGUGAAGCGGGAAGAGCUCAAGCUUAAAAUCUCCGUGCAAGUUUUGCGCGGCGAAUUGUAGUCUAUAGAGGCGUGGUCAGCGUGGGCGCUUGGGGCAAGUUCCUUGGAAGAGGACAGCAUGGAGGGUGAUACUCCCGUUCAUCCCUGAGUGGCUCGUGCGUACGACCCGUGUUCUUUGAGUCGCGUUGUUUGGGAAUGCAGCGCAAAGUAGGUGGUAAAUUCCAUCUAAAGCUAAAUAUUGGUGCGAGACCGAUAGCGAACAAGUACCGUGAGGGAAAGAUGAAAAGAACUUUGAAAAGAGAGUUAAAGAGUACCUGAAACUGCUGAAAGGGAACCGAAUCGUUUCCAGUGUCUAUAAUCCGUGGCAUAUUUCAUUGGCGAGUGUGUGCGCGCGUGCGCUGUGGCAGCGGCUUUUUUGGCUGCGCUCGGUGCGUGUGUUGUGUGUGCUUGCUGGUGCCCUGUGCUGCGGUGGGACGUCAAGGUCAGUUCGUAUGCUGCGGGAAAUGGCUGCCGAGGAGGUAGGGCUUACGCUCUGCGUUUGUCUAUUAUAUCUUGGUGGACGAGUCGUCGCGGUUGGGACUGAGGUGCCUACAACGUGCUUUUGAGUGGGUGUGUGUCUCCGUGUGCGCCGUGUGCGGAUAGCUUGCUAUGCGUGUGUGGUUGUGUGUGGAUUGAUGCGUGCCUUAACUUGUCGCCGUUCGGGACGUUGACGAAAUGGAGCGAUCCGACCCGUCUUGAAACACGGACCAAGGAGUCUAACAUGUGUGCAAGUGUUAGGGUGUGGAAACCCCAGCGCGAAAUGAAAGUGAAGGGCAGCGCAAGUUGUCUGAGGUAGGAAACGUUGCGGGCUUCGGUCUGCGGCGUGGCACUAUCGACCGAUCAUGAACCUUCGUGGUGAAAGAUUUGAGUUUGAGCACAUAUGUUGGUACCCGAAAGAUGGUGAACUAUGCCUGAGUAGGGUGAAGCCAGGGGAAACUCUGGUGGAAGCUCGUAGCGAUUCUGACGUGCAAAUCGAUCGUCAAACUU
rnacentral:rRNA from 1 species